GAGUCCUAUAAGAAGAGUAACGUCAAUGUCAGAAUUGGAACAAUGACGAUCUGUCAUUGUCAUUCCAAACGAGCAAAUGACCUGUCAAAACCGAUUUGGAAAAAUGAAUAAACCAGAAGUAUUGUAAUCGAUGGGUUUCCGAAGUGAGCUAAAGGAACUGGAUUUGUUUGUUUAUAUUCGAUUAUUUGAAAAUACUUUCCUGAUCGAAGUAGGGAAAUAGCGAGCAAUAUCACCCGCUGCUGCUGCUGCUGCUGGAAUACCACGAAAGCUUGUUUCCCGUGUGAGUCCUCGGUAGGCAUACUGUUCACGGACACUAGCAGCACCAUAAUUCGCUUCUUCCACAACCGCUUCAAAAGGAUUAUACGUACAGUCCAAUUUAUUUUCAUCCGGCGAAUACAGAGGGAAACAAGAGUGAACAACAACGUCAUACUGUGCAGCAGGAAGCUGAAGUGCUGGAACGAUUUCCCAGGUGAUAUGCAAUUGCGCUAUGACGACACAAGUGAUGCCGCUUUUUCGAUAAGAUUUUGGACAAGGUUCGAGCGAUGGAGAUGGCAAGUCUUCGCUAGAAGGGAGUUAAUUUAUAUUGAAUCACACGGACUACAGAAUAAUAUUCAAAUCCGUCGCGAAAAGGUACAGGAUGGAAAAAAGCAGCGCAAAUUGGAUUGAGUGGAGUGAAAACCUUUAUCAUUCUUGUACGAUAGCGUUAGAAAAGCCGAGAUGGACGAGGCGAUAUAAUCGAAGACGUUUUGGUCCUCAUAUCUUUAGGAUUGAAGUGAACGUAAAGUGACUGUUAUGGUGCAUUAGUUUAAUUUAUCUGCGGUUUUGAAUUUAUGAUUAUUACAAAGUAAAUAGUGACCAGUGCUAUAGGCAGGUGCCUUGCUAAAAUAGAUGAUAGUAAUGUCGUCAUCACAAAAUGAAUAGUGAAUGUAUUGAUUCUAAAGUUGGAAAGAAAAUAAAAUUAGUUUCUGCUGCGGAUAAAUAAUAUUGACAAAACUAAUGCAAU